rnacentral:rRNA from 1 species
UGAGGAAUAUUGGUCAAUGGGCGCGAGCCUGAACCAGCCAAGUAGCGUGAGGGAUGACUGCCCUAUGGGUUGUAAACCUCUUUUGAUUGGGAACAAAGAGCGCCACGUGUGGUGCGUUGCGUGUACCUUUCGAAUAAGCAUCGGCUAAUUCCGUGCCAGCAGCCGCGGUAAUACGGAAGAUGCGAGCGUUAUCCGGAUUUAUUGGGUUUAAAGGGUGCGUAGGCGGUUUGUCAAGUCAGCGGUCAAACUGCGGGGCUUAACCUCGUAUUGCCGUUGAAACUGGCUGACUAGCGUGGCGUCGAGGUGUGCGGAAUGCGUUGUGUAGCGGUGAAAUGCAUAGAUAUGACGCAGAACUCCGAUUGCGAAGGCAGCACACCGGGCGCCUACGGACGCUGAGGCACGAAAGCGUGGGUAUCGAACAGGAUUAGAUACCCUGGUAGU